rnacentral:misc_RNA from 1 species
GAAAUGCGAUAAGUAAUGUGAAUUGCAGAAUUCAGUGAAUCAUCGAAUCUUUGAACGCACAUUGCGCCCGCCAGUAUUCUGGCGGGCAUGCCUGUUCGAGCGUCAUUUCAACCAUCAAGCCCCCGGGCUUGUGUUGGGGACCUGCGGCUGCCGCAGGCCCCGAAAACCAGUGGCGGGCUCGCUGUCACACCGGGCGUAGUAGAUUUUUCGUCUCGCCCAGGGCGUGCUGCGGGUUCCGGCCGUUAAAAAGCCUCUCUUUUAACCCAAGGUUGACCUCGGAUCAGGUAGGAAGACCCGCUGAACUUAAGA